rnacentral:rRNA from 1 species
AUUCCAGCUCCAAUAGUGUAUAUUAAAGUUGUUGCAGUUAAAAAGCUCGUAGUUGAACUUCUGACAGUGUGCAGUUUUGGUUGUUAUCAGGCUGCAUUGCUGUCAUCCGUCUGCAAACCCCGUACAACCUUGAGUGGAUUGGCGGGGGGAGUAGACAUUUUACUUUGAAAAAAUUAGAGUGUUUCAAGCAGGUUAUUGCCAGAAUACUUUAGCAUGGAAUAAUGGAAUAGGACUCUUGUCCAUUUGGUUGGUUAUUGGACACGAGUAAUGAUUAACAGGGACAGUUGGGGGCAUUAGUAUUUAAUUGUCAGAGGUGAAAUUCAUGGAUUUAUUAAAGACUAACUUAUGCGAAAGCAUUUGCCAAGGAUGUUUUUUCAUUAAUCAAGAACGAAAGUUAGGGGAUCAAAGACGAUCAGAUACCGUCCUAGUCUUAACUAUAAACGAUGUCGACUCGGGAUUGGAAAGGUAAUUUUAUCCUUUCCAGCACCGUAUGAGAAAUCAUUAAGUCUUUGGA